rnacentral:tRNA from 1 species
GGGGGAUUAGCUCAGUUGGCUAGAGCGGUUGGUUCGCAAUCAACAGGUCGUCGGUUCGAAUCCGGUAUCCUCCACAA